GGGUCCAUAGCUCAACGGAUAGAGCACCCGCCUUCGGAUGAGAUGUCUCUUUAGAAAAGAGAGAUUCAAUGUAGAGAAAAUACAUUAGCAGAUUGCUAGGAGAAAGCGGUUGAUCAGGGUUCAAUUCCCCGUGGACCCG
rnacentral:tRNA from 1 species